GUCAGACACGCCCGCUUUACGUUAGUCCGGGAACCAUGGCAAUGACAGUUGGUUAGCUAGCGUGUCGCCGCUUAGAAAAGGUCUGACUGCACGAACGAUAUCUACAGUUCACUGUUGCAGUGCUGCCUUUGGGAGCAUGUGGUCCUUGAAACACUUCUCUAGUCCAGCAAUAUGAGUGUGCCAGAGGUCGUCACGCUGGACGGGAGGCUGUGGUGGUCCACGAUAACGAAGGAGCAGGUGUCCCUUCCAGUGAUGUGGAACUGACCUUGGACUUGGACCUGGUGCCAGGAAGGAUGGUCUUCACAGAGGCAGUAAGACCUUCCCUCCGCUUGGAUAUAGAAAUCAUUCGACCUCCUCUUCAAUGGUCAGGUCCCUUUUAGGCACCAUAGGAACACUUGACCUCCACCACCAGACCAUCCGGUGAGGCACCCAGGAUCCCAGACCGUUUGGUGAGGGGCACCCAGGAUCCCAGACCGUCCGGUGAGGCACCCAGGAUCCCAGACCGUUCGGUGAGAGGCACCCAGGAUCCCAGACCGUUCGGUGAGGGGCACCCAGGAUCCCAGACCAUCCGUUGAGGCACCCAGGAUCCCGGACCGUCCGGUGAAGCACCCAGGAUCCCAGACCGUUCGGUGAGGGGCACCCAGGAUCCCAGACCGUUCGGUGAGGCACCCAGGAUCCCAGACCGUCCGGUGAGGCACCCAGACCGUCUGGUGAGGGGCACCCAGGAUCCCGGACCGUCUGGUGAAUUUCACCCAGGAUCCCAGACCGUCUGGUGAAUUUCACCCAGGACCCCAGACCGUCUGGUGAAGGGCACCCAGGAUCCCCUCCCUCUUUGUCAUCUGUCCCCCACAUUAUAGACAGUUUGUUUCCCAUAAACUUUUAAUUCAUAACUUUGGAUUUUUUACCACUUGCCAUAUCAAUCAUAAUAGUGGGAAGGAGCCUACAGAUCCAGACUGUGUGAGGGCAUGUACCACUCAGAAUAAAUAA
ensembl:lncRNA